CACGUAGGGUGCGAGCGUUGUCCGGAAUUAUUGGGCGUAAAGAGCUCGUAGGCGGUCCGUCACGUCGGAUGUGAAAUUCCAGGGCUCAACCCUGGACCUGCAUUCGAUACGGGCGGACUAGAGUUCGGUAGGGGAGACUGGAAUUCCUGGUGUAGCGGUGAAAUGCGCAGAUAUCAGGAGGAACACCGGUGGCGAAGGCGGGUCUCUGGGCCACUACUGACGCUGAGAAGCGAAAGCAUGGGGAGCGAACAGG
rnacentral:rRNA from 1 species